rnacentral:rRNA from 1 species
GACGUAGGGGGCGAGCGUUGUCCGGAUUUAUUGGGCGUAAAGAGCGCGUAGGCGGCCCGGAAAGUCGGUUGUGAAAACCCGGGGCUCAACCCCGGGCCUGCAUCCGAUACUCCCGGGCUAGAGGCAGGUAGGGGAGAGUGGAAUUCCCGGUGUAGCGGUGAAAUGCGCAGAUAUCGGGAGGAACACCGGUGGCGAAGGCGGCUCUCUGGGCCUGUCCUGACGCUCAGGCGCGAAAGCUAGGGGAGCAAACAGG